GGUCCUAUGGUGUAAUGGUUAGCACUCUGGACUUUGAAUCCAGCGAUCCGAGUUCGAGUCUCGGUAGGACCU